GGUCAAGUUUAGUAAGGGCGUAUGGGGGAUGUCUUGGCGUUAGAAGGCGAUGAAGAGCGUGGAAGUCUGCGAAAAGUCUGGGGGAGCUGACAAACAAGUGACGAUCCCGGAAUACUCGAAUUAACGAAAACUGAAUUCAUAGGUUUUCGUGGCAAACCCGGUGAACUGAAACAUCUAAGUAACCGGCGGAAUAGAAAGAAAAAUCGAUUCCCUUAGUAGCGGCGAGCGAAGGGGGAACAGCCCAAACCAUGAAGGUUUCCUUCGUGGGGUUGUAGGGUCUUUCAUUGGAGUUACCAAGUGAUUCGUUAACAGAACGGUAUGGAAAGGCCGGCCACAGAGGGUGAAAGCCCCGUAAGUGAAAACGAGAUCACCUCUAGAAGGAUACCUGAGUAGGUCGAGGCACGUGAAACCUCGACUGAAUCUACGGGGACCAUCCCGUAAGGCUAAAUACUCUCUAACGACCGAUAGUGAAUUAAGUAGCGCGAGCGAAAGAUGGGAAGAACCCCGGCUAGGGGAGGACACUGAACCUGAAACCGUACGCUUACAAGCGGUCGGAGCACUAUUUAAAGUGUGACGGCGUGCCUUUUGCAUAAUGAUCCGGCGAGUUACCGUUUGCGGCGGGUUAAGGCCUUAAGGGCUGGAGCCAAAGGGAAACCGAGUCUGAAUAGGGCGUAAUGUCGUGGGCGGUAGACGCGAAACUGUGUGAUCUACCCAUGGGCAGGUUGAAGCGCGGGUUAAACUGCGUGGAGGACCGAACUCACUUGGGUUGAAAACC
rnacentral:rRNA from 1 species